ACUCCUACGGGAGGCAGCAGUGGGGAAUAUUGCACAAUGGGCGAAAGCCUGAUGCAGCAACGCCGCGUGCGGGAAGAAGGCCCUAGGGUUGUAAACCGCUUUCAGCAGGGAAGAAAAUGACGGUACCUGCAGAAGAAGGUGCGGCCAACUACGUGCCAGCAGCCGCGGUGACACGUAGGCACCAAGCGUUGUCCGGAUUUAUUGGGCGUAAAGAGCUCGUAGGCGGUUCAGUAAGUCGGGUGUGAAAACUCUGGGCUCAACCCAGAGACGCCACCCGAUACUGCUGUGACUUGAGUACGGUAGGGGAGCGGGGAAUUCCUGGUGUAGCGGUGAAAUGCGCAGAUAUCAGGAGGAACACCAGUGGCGAAGGCGCCGCUCUGGGCCGAAACUGACGCUGAGGAGCGAAAGCGUGGGUAGCAAACAGGAUUAGAUACCCUGGUAGGCGUAG
rnacentral:rRNA from 1 species